CUUCUGGAAGUUAAAGUACUCUAGAGAGCUCAGCUCACCAUGGCCUGGGCUCUGUUUUCCUUUGCACUGCUGAGUUACUGCUCAGGUGUCCAUUCACAGAGUGUGACUCAACAGCCUGCCUCUGCGUCUGUGUCCCUGGGCCAGACAGUGAAACUCUCCUGCACCAUAAGCAGUGGAGGGAGCUGGGGUAGAUAUUAUGACUGGUAUCAACAGAGACUUGGGCAGGUCCCUCGCUCUGUGCACUGUGGUCGUAGUGGAUGCGGCAGGGGAGAAGGGAUCCCGGAUCGGUUCACUGCCUCUGGCUCUGGGAACAAUUUCUACCUGACCAUCACUAACGUCCAGGCUGAAGAUGAGGCUGAUUAUUACUGUGCGGAAUGGUAUAGCACUGCUAGCAUGUUCCACAGCGAUACAGUCUAAUGCGGAACUGAGACAAAAACCUUCUCUCUUCCUCCCCAGAGUGGGGAAUGAAGACGAUUGAGAGAACACAUGGCAGUACCUAAAUUGGCUUGACUCAUAAAGCUGAAACGCAUAGUUGUCCACCUUUCUACAAGUCAGGGCCAACUAACACCCUCCCAAACGAACCCACAUAAUCUACCUGGAGUGUCCCACAAGGAUGAAAGCUGGUUAAAAAGCCAAGAUUUCACACGCUCUCUAAAAGUUGUGAUGGAGAUUGUGAUGCCCUGCUAUUCUGGCUUUCACCUUUAAGGGGAGAUGUUGCUCUAUUCUCUCCACAUUUGGAAGAGAUAGACUUGAGAGUCUUCAUCUGCAGACCCUGCAUCUGUGAUGUGAAAUGGAUCCAUCCUCCAUCCUGUUCAGCAUAUGUGCCAAAUCUCCUGUUUGUGAGGUUUUGUAUUGACCUUGUCGUUAAAUUGUAGCCGGGGAUUAUGGGAGUUGUAGUUCAGAAACAUCUGGAGUGUGAUAGGUUAGGAACCCCACAGUUAAUAUAUUUGUAUGUCACCUCUUGAGAGAGAGAGAGAGGAAGACACUUUGUAAGGUGUUGAAUGUGCAAACCAAGUUCAGUUAAAAAUGGAACAAACAAUUGUGUAUCCUUUUUGUAUUGUUCGAUGAUUAAAAAUCUCCGACAAAGC